rfam:Myotis lucifugus cont2.45302, whole genome shotgun sequence.
CGUGCACCAGUGGGGUCCCUCAGCCUGGCCUGCACCCUCUCACAAGCUGGGACCCCUCAGGAGAUGUUGGAGAGCCAGUUUCAGCCCGAUCCCACAGGCCAGGCUGAGGGACUCCACUGGUGCACG